AGAGUUUGAUCCUGGCUCAGGAUGAACGCUAGCGGCAGGCCUAACACAUGCAAGUCGAGGGGCAUCGGGAUUGAAGCUUGCUUCAAUUGCCGGCGACCGGCGCACGGGUGCGUAACGCGUAUGUAACCUACCUAUAACAGGGGCAUAACACUGAGAAAUUGGUACUAAUUCCCCAUAAUAUUCGGAGAGGCAUCUCUCCGGGUUGAAAACUCCGGUGGUUAUAGAUGGACAUGCGUUGUAUUAGCUAGUUGGUGAGGUAACGGCUCACCAAGGCAACGAUACAUAGGGGGACUGAGAGGUUAACCCCCCACAUUGGUACUGAGACACGGACCAAACUCCUACGGGAGGCAGCAGUGAGGAAUAUUGGUCAAUGGACGCAAGUCUGAACCAGCCAUGCCGCGUGCAGGAAGACGGCUCUAUGAGUUGUAAACUGCUUUUGUACGAGGGUAAACUCACCUACGUGUAGGUGACUGAAAGUAUCGUACGAAUAAGGAUCGGCUAACUCCGUGCCAGCAGCCGCGGUAAUACGGAGGAUCCAAGCGUUAUCCGGAUUUAUUGGGUUUAAAGGGUGCGUAGGCGGUUUGAUAAGUUAGAGGUGAAAUCCCGGGGCUUAACUCCGGAACUGCCUCUAAUACUGUUAGACUAGAGAGUAGUUGCGGUAGGCGGAAUGUAUGGUGUAGCGGUGAAAUGCUUAGAGAUCAUACAGAACACCGAUUGCGAAGGCAGCUUACCAAACUAUAUCUGACGUUGAGGCACGAAAGCGUGGGGAGCAAACAGGAUUAGAUACCCUGGUAGUCCACGCAGUAAACGAUGAUAACUCGUUGUCGGCGAUACACAGUCGGUGACUAAGCGAAAGCGAUAAGUUAUCCACCUGGGGAGUACGUUCGCAAGAAUGAAACUCAAAGGAAUUGACGGGGGCCCGCACAAGCGGAGGAACAUGUG
rnacentral:rRNA from 1 species